rnacentral:rRNA from 1 species
UACGUAGGCAGCAAGCGUUGUUCGGAGUUACUGGGCGUAAAGAGCGCGCAGGCGGUCGUUCAAGUCGCGUGUGAAAGCCCCCGGCUCAACUGGGGAGGGUCACGCGAUACUGAUCGACUCGAAGGCAGGAGAGGGUAGUGGAAUUCCCGGUGUAGUGGUGAAAUGCGUAGAUAUCGGGAGGAACACCAGUGGCGAAGGCGACUACCUGGCCUGUUCUUGACGCUGAGGCGCGAAAGCCAGGGGAGCAAACGGG